rnacentral:rRNA from 1 species
UGGGGGAUAUUGCACAAUGGGCGAAAGCCUGAUGCAGCGACGCCGCGUGGGGGAUGAAGGCUUUCGGGUUGUAAACCUCUUUCGCUAUCGAACAAGGCCCGCUUAGGGUGGGUUGAGGGUAGGUGGAGAAGAAGCGCCGGCUAACUACGUGCCAGCAGCCGCGGUAAUACGUAGGGCGCGAGAGUUGUCCGGAAUUAUUGGGCGUAAAGGGCUUGUAGGCGGCUUGUUGCGCCUGCUGUGAAAACGCGGGGCUUAACUUCGCGCGUGCAGUGGGUACGGGCAGGCUUGAGUGUGGUAGGGGUGACUGGAAUUCCAGGUGUAGCGGUGGAAUGCGCAGAUAUCUGGAGGAACACCGAUGGCGAAGGCAGGUCACUGGGCCAUUACUGACGCUGAGGAGCGAAAGCAUGGGUAGCGAACAGG